rnacentral:tRNA from 1 species
UAAAUGAAAGCCAAAAAAAUAGCGGCGCCUAGCUGUUAAUUAGGAGACUGUAACGUAAAUUACUCAUUUAA